UUUCAAUCGUCGAGGGUCUCGAGCCUCGUUUCAGAAUGCAGUGGAAAUUAGACAAAUAUAUUCGCUUCUGUGAGAUAUAUCAAGUUUCAUGUCCUCCCAGUUCUGUGAAGGGGAAGAAGAAACUUCAACCCUUUCAUCGAUGUUACGUUGCUACUCGGA